AAAAAGGCAAACCGCAGGUUUGCGUGCCAACGUUUGACUGUCCGUCUUAUAUGAAAUUUUUUUAUAAUUAGUAUUUUCAUUGUUGUUAGAUGAUAAAACAUGAUAAAUACUUUAUGUGUGACUUAUCUUUUUAAUUUUUUAUAAUUUUUUCAAAUAAGACGGACGGUCAAACAUUGGACACGGAAACCAGGGUUUGUCUUUUU
rfam:Oryza nivara chromosome 7, whole genome shotgun sequence.